GGUCCUUGAUUUGGGUAGAGUUGCACCUUGUUUGGUGGUACCUGUCUCAUUUCAGCCAGGGACAAAACAACUUUUUGUUUAUCCCAGCUUGGCUUUUGGUCUGUGCCUGUGCCUGGUUCAUGCCCUGGACACAAAG